rnacentral:rRNA from 1 species
CGUAGGGUGCGAGCGUUAAUCGGAAUUACUGGGCGUAAAGCGUGCGCAGGCGGUUUAGUAAGACAGGCGUGAAAUCCCCGGGCUCAACCUGGGAACUGCGCUUGUGACUGCUAAGCUAGAGUACGGCAGAGGGGGUGGAAUUCCACGUGUAGCAGUGAAAUGCGUAGAGAUGUGGAGGAACACCAAUGGCGAAGGCAGCCCCCUGGGUCGAUACUGACGCUCAUGCACGAAAGCGUGGGUAGCAAACAGGAUUAGAUACCCUGGUAGUCCACGCCUAAACGAUGUCAACUAGGUGUUGGGAGGGUAAAACCUUUUAGUACCGGAGCUAACGCGUGAAGUUGACCGCCUGGGGAGUACGGCCGCAAGGUUA